UGAGUAAUGUCUGGGAAACUGCCUGAUGGAGGGGGAUAACUACUGGAAACGGUAGCUAAUACCGCAUAACGUCGCAAGACCAAAGAGGGGGACCUUCGGGCCUCUUGCCAUCAGAUGUGCCCAGAUGGGAUUAGCUAGUAGGUGGGGUAAUGGCUCACCUAGGCGACGAUCCCUAGCUGGUCUGAGAGGAUGACCAGCCACACUGGAACUGAGACACGGUCCAGACUCCUACGGGAGGCAGCAGUGGGGAAUAUUGCACAAUGGGCGCAAGCCUGAUGCAGCCAUGCCGCGUGUGUGAAGAAGGCCUUCGGGUUGUAAAGCACUUUCAGCGAGGAGGAAGGUGGUGAGCUUAAUACGCUCAUCAAUUGACGUUACUCGCAGAAGAAGCACCGGCUAACUCCGUGCCAGCAGCCGCGGUAAUACGGAGGGUGCAAGCGUUAAUCGGAAUUACUGGGCGUAAAGCGCACGCAGGCGGUUUGUUAAGUCAGAUGUGAAAUCCCCGGG
rnacentral:rRNA from 1 species